CUGCUACUCCCUCCGUCCCAAAAUUCGUGUCUUAGAUUUAUUUAGAUAUCAAUGUAUCUAGUCACGUUUUAGUAUUUUGAUAUAUUCAUUUCUAGACAAACUUAAGACAANNAUUUUGGGACGGAGGGAGUAUAUA
rfam:Hordeum vulgare subsp. vulgare, WGS project CAJW01000000 data, contig: morex_contig_1570187